GACGAACGCUGGCGGCGUGGAUUAGGCAUGCAAGUCGAACGGUAUCAUCCUUUCGGGGGUGAGAGAGUGGCGAACUGGUGAGUAACACGUAGGUUAUCUACCCUCAAGACGGGGACAACCCAGGGAAACUUGGGCUAAUACCGGAUGUGAGCAACUUUUAGUUGUUUGAAAGGUGGCGUAAGCUGUCGCUUGGGGAUGAGCCUGCGUCCUAUUAGUUAGUUGGUGAGGUAACGGCUCACCUAGGCAAUGAUAGGUAGGCGGCCUUAACGGGUGGUCGCCCACACUGGGAUUGAGAUACGGCCCAGACUCCUACGGGAGGCAGCAGUCGAGAAUAGUCUACAAUGGUCGGAAGACUGAUAGUGCGACGCCGCGUGAACGAUGAAUCCCUUCGGGGUGUAAAGUUCUUUUAUAUGUGAGCAGUGCUUCUUAUAUUAACAGUAUGGGGAAGAGAUAUUAGCAUAUGAAUAAGCAACGGCUAACUCCGUGCCAGCAGCCGCGGAAUA
rnacentral:rRNA from 1 species